UACCAGCACCCCGAGUGGUCGGGACGUUUAUUGGGCCUAAAGCGUCCGUAGCCGGUUCUACAAGUCUUCCGUUAAAUCCACCUGCUUAACAGAUGGGCUGCGGAAGAUACUAUAGAGCUAGGAGGCGGGAGAGGCAAGCGGUACUCGAUGGGUAGGGGUAAAAUCCGUUGAUCCAUUGAAGACCACCAGUGGCGAAGGCGGCUUGCCUGAACGCGCUCGACGGUGAGGGAUGAAAGCUGGGGGAGCAAACCGG
rnacentral:rRNA from 1 species